rnacentral:lncRNA from 1 species
GUCAUUUCACUAUUACCAAGACUGGAUACAUGGUAACCAAGUCAGAUGGAUUUCAUGGGGAUGAUGAAACUCCCCCCUCUCUUCUCAUAAUGAUCAUAUUUAAUGCUCAUGAAACUGACUCUAAGGGCGCAGCUGCCAUGUGCAUUAAAAAAAUUAUCAAACGAAAGAACGCACUACUGUAUAUUAAAUCUCCUGAACUCCGUAAAUUCUC